GGGUAGAUGGCGAAACUGGUAGACGCAUUACAUUCAAAAUGUAACGAUUUUUUCGUGAGGGUUCGAGUCCCUCUCUACCUA
rnacentral:tRNA from 1 species